rnacentral:misc_RNA from 1 species
GUGUUGUCGUUGCAUUAUUUGGGGAUGAUGAUAUUUUCUGUCAAUGUAGCAUUAUAUAAGCACUUAAAAAGGUUAUAUGCAUAUUGUAAUAGAUUGGUGCAUGUAUUAUUCUUGUUGGAUAAGCGUAAGUGGUUUUAUUUUCCAUGAAAUGGUUGGCUAAACUAUUACCAAAUAGGAAACUUUCAUAUUUGCUGCUGCUCUAUACAACACUAGCAUAUGCUUCCCCUACUUGUUAGGUGGAGUUAUA